rnacentral:lncRNA from 1 species
UCAUGAUGGCGGAAGUUAUAACUAUUUUAUGUGUUUUUUGUUGCUUUUUACUUGUUUUCGGCAAAGGUAUGAAUUCAUAAUAUCACUAUAAUAGUCAUUUAAUUUACUACUAAUUUGAUUUGAGUGAAUUCUGGCGUAAAAGAGAAGCGAAAAAUAUUAAAGUUGGCAUUUUAACACAUAAGUCGAGGAAAGUCUAUACUAAUUAAUUCAAAAGCUUUAUUAUUACCAAUUAAAUUAAUUGUAACGUUCACAGAAUGAAAUUUUUGGCUUACCAACAAGAACCAAGUAUGUUUCCUUUACAAUGUAAAUAUAAGUCUAGUUGAAGGAGUAGCUUCACCAACUGAUUGCAUUGAUACCAAAGUAUACAGAUGCUCUAAGGAACUUUUAUAUUGACAGUAGUUGGUUUUAAACAUGAACACUGAUAAAUUGUAUGUUUAUUACAUGCAAUGUAGAUGGCUUGCUUGCCAACAAUUAGCCUUAUAGAUAUGAUAAACGACAAAAUACAUAAAUAUCUUUUUAGAAAUUGAUCUUCUGAUCCGGUAACACUGUUUUUUUUUGUAGAGAAUUAUCAAGUAAUUGUCUCCUACAACGCGACAGAAACUGUGAAUUGUAGUGCCACAACUCUUAUACAGAUUAUAAACAUUACCGUCAAAGAAAACAGCAAAUGCAACCCGAUGGAUUGCAUAUUGUCAGAGGGGCAAAUAAAUGCAAAAAAAAGCUUCAUGUGAUGAACAGCAUGCUUGUAAUAUUACAUCAAAUAUACCAAACAGUUGUCUACUUGACCUCGGAUAUCUCAACUAUGGAUAUGCAUGUA